GUGGAUAGAGAUGGGCACGCGCAAGAUUAGAUAGUUGGUGAGGUAACGGCUCACCAAGUCUGCGAUCUUUAGGGGGCCUGAGAGGGUGAUCCCCCACACUGGUACUGAGACACGGACCAGACUCCUACGGGAGGCAGCAGUGAGGAAUAUUGGACAAUGGGUGAGAGCCUGAUCCAGCCAUCCCGCGUGAAGGACGACGGCCCUAUGGGUUGUAAACUUCUUUUGUAUAGGGAUAAACCUACUCUCGUGAGAGUAGCUGAAGGUACUAUACGAAUAAGCACCGGCUAACUCCGUGCCAGCAGCCGCGGUAAUACGGAGGGUGCAAGCGUUAUCCGGAUUUAUUGGGUUUAAAGGGUCCGUAGGCGGAUUUGUAAGUCAGUGGUGAAAUCUCACAGCUUAACUGUGAAACUGCCAUUGAUACUGCAAGUCUUGAGUGUUGUUGAAGUAGCUGGAAUAAGUAGUGUAGCGGUGAAAUGCAUAGAUAUUACUUAGAACACCAAUUGCGAAGGCAGGUUACUAAGCAACAACUGACGCUGAUGGACGAAAGCGUGGGGAGCGAACAGGAUUAGAUACCCUGGUAGUCCACGCCGUAAACGAUGCUAACUCGUUUUUGGGCUUUCGGGUUCAGAGACUAAGCGAAAGUGAUAAGUUAGCCACCUGGGGAGUACGAACGCAAGUUUGAAACUCAAAGGAAUUGACGGGGGCCCGCACAAGCGGUGGAUUAUGUGGUUUAAUUCGAUGAUACGCGAGGAACCUUACCAAGGCUUAAAUGGGAAAUGACAGGUUUAGAAAUAGACUUUUCUUCGGACAUUUUUCAAGGUGCUGCAUGGUUGUCGUCAGCUCGUGCCGUGAGGUGUUAGGUUAAGUCCUGCAACGAGCGCAACCCCUGUCACUAGUUGCCAUCAUUAAGUUGGGGACUCUAGUGAGACUGCCUACGCAAGUAGAGAGGAAGGUGGGGAUGACGUCAAAUCAUCACGGCCCUUACGCCUUGGGCCACACACGUAAUACAAUGGCCGGUACAGAGGGCAGCUACACAGCGAUGUGAUGCAAAUCUCGAAAGCCGGUCUCAGUUCGGAUUGGAGUCUGCAACUCGACUCUAUGAAGCUGGAAUCGCUAGUAAUCGCGCAUCAGCCAUGGCGCGGUGAAUACGUUCCCGG
rnacentral:rRNA from 1 species